CCUACGGGUGACAGCAGUGGGGAAUAUUGCACAAUGGGGGAAACCCUGAUGCAGCGACGCCGCGUGAGCGAUGAAGUAUUUCGGUAUGUAAAGCUCUAUCAACAGGGAAGAAAAUGACGGUGCCUGACUAAGAAGCCCCGGCUAACUACGUGCCAGCAGCCGCGGUAAUACGUAGGGGGCGAGCGUUAACCGGAUUUACUGGGUGUAACGGGAGCGUAGACGGCGGUGCAAGCCAGAUGUGAAAGCCCGGGGCUCAACCCGGGGACUGCAUUUGGAACUGUGCUGCUAGAGUGUCGGAGAGGCAGGCGGAAUUCCUGGUGUAGCGGUGAAAUGCGUAGAGAUUAGGAGGAAUACCAGUGGCGAAGGCGGCCUGCUGGACGAUGACUGACGUUGAGGCGCGAAAGCGUGGGGAGCAAACAGGAUUAGAUACCCGGGUAGUC
rnacentral:rRNA from 1 species